rnacentral:rRNA from 1 species
GCUUAGGAAUCUGCCUAUUAGUGGGGGACAACAUUUCGAAAGGAAUGCUAAUACCGCAUACGUCCUACGGGAGAAAGCAGGGGAUCUUCGGACCUUGCGCUAAUAGAUGAGCCUAAGUCGGAUUAGCUAGUUGGUGGGGUAAAGGCCUACCAAGGCGACGAUCUGUAGCGGGUCUGAGAGGAUGAUCCGCCACACUGGGACUGAGACACGGCCCAGACUCCUACGGGAGGCAGCAGUGGGGAAUAUUGGACAAUGGGCGCAAGCCUGAUCCAGCCAUGCCGCGUGUGUGAAGAAGGCCUUAUGGUUGUAAAGCACUUUAAGCGAGGAGGAGGCUACUGAAGUUAAUACCUUCAGAUAGUGGACGUUACUCGCAGAAUAAGCACCGGCUAACUCUGUGCCAGCAGCCGCGGUAAUACAGAGGGUGCAAGCGUUAAUCGGAUUUACUGGGCGUAAAGCGCGCGUAGGCGGCUAAUUAAGUCAAAUGUGAAAUCCCCGAGCUUAACUUGGGAAUUGCAUUCGAUACUGGUUAGCUAGAGUGUGGGAGAGGAUGGUAGAAUUCCAGGUGUAGCGGUGAAAUGCGUAGAGAUCUGGAGGAAUACCGAUGGCGAAGGCAGCCAUCUGGCCUAACACUGACGCUGAGGUGCGAAAGCAUGGGGAGCAAACAGGAUUAGAUACCCUGGUAGUCCAUGCCGUAAACGAUGUCUACUA